rnacentral:misc_RNA from 1 species
GUUUUCCUGAAAUGGGAAAAGACUAAAUUUGGACCGUUCUCGUUGAUUCUGAAUUGAUGGAGGAGUUGUUGGUGAGCCAAACAAGAGGAAAUUGCCAUUGUCUGCUCCAGUAUCUGUACUUUUGCAUUUUCUUAUGUUGGGCUCCGAAGAACUUCCGGACUUCAUCUCUCUUGAGAUUGUGUCACAUGGUUCAAGAUUGAUUAUGCUGUGACCACCACAUGAAAGUGACGAGUCUAG